GGUGCAGCAGCCGAAAGACCUCCAGCGGAGAGUCGUGGUAGCGCAACGCUUGCAGAAACAGUCCUUUCAGUUUACUGUUGUAUGGGCAUUGGGCAGAAUGGAGACCAAACCAGUGAUAACCUUUCUCAAAACCCUCCUCAUCGUUUACUCCUUCGUGUUUUGGAUCACAGGAGUGAUCCUCUUGGCAGUGGGAGUAUGGGGGAAGUUUAUGAUCGGCCCGUAUAUCUCUCUGAUAGCUGAGAACACCACCAACGCUCCGUACGUCCUCAUCGGCACUGGGACUGUCAUCAUCGUCUUUGGCCUGUUCGGAUGCUUCGCCACCUGCAGGGGGAGCCCAUGGAUGCUCAAACUGUAUGUAAUGUUCUUGUCCCUGGUGUUCCUAGCUGAGUUGGUGGCUGGGAUCUCUGGCUUUGUUUUUCGUCAUGAGAUAAAAGGUACCUUCCUGAGGACGUAUACUGACGCCGUGUUGAAUUAUGAUGCUGAGGAUGAGAAGAGCCUGGCUGUGGACAACGUCCAAAGCAGCCUGCGUUGCUGUGGGGUGAACAACUACACCAGCUGGUUGGGCAGUGUGUACUACCCUGCUAACGGUUUUCCCCUGAGCUGCUGCUCCAACUCCUCUGACUGCAGCCCUCAGGACCUCCGCAACACCACCAUAAACCACACCAAGGUCUACCAGCAGGGCUGUUAUGAACUGGUAACCUCCUUCCUUGAGACCAACAUGGCCAUCAUCGCGGGAGUAACAUUUGGAAUUGCCUUCUCACAGUUGAUUGGCAUGUUGCUGGCCUGCUGUCUGUCCAGGAUCAUUACUGCUAAUCAGUAUGAGAUGGUGUAGCAGGGAGAGCAGGGAGAUGAAGAGGAGAGGGCGAACAGCACCUUGGUAGACUGGGACAGAAGAUCCCCACAACACUAAAACUCUUCUCUCUCUCUCUCUCUCUCUCUCUCUCUCUCUCUCUCUCUCUCUCUCUCUCUCUCUCUCUCUCUCUCUCUCUCUCUCUCUCUCUCUCUCUCUCUCUCUCUCUCUCUCUCUCUCUCUCUCUCUCUCUCUCUCUCUCUCUCUCUCUCUCUCUCUCUCUCUCUCUCUCUCUCUCUCUCUCUCUCUCUCUCUCUCUCUCUCUCAUAAAGAAGUACCAUUCCUUAACUUGAUACUGUGCCAUGAAGACUUUCGCACAGUACCUUCAACUCCACUGAGGGACUCAGGCUGCAGUUGGAAGUUUCUAGUUCGCAAAGUGUCUAGGAAGACAGGAGGGCUUACUGACAAAUAAAGUGAACAAGAAUGAUGCAUUUCUCAUAAGGAUGUUUAAUUUCAUUUCAAUCCAAUAAACAGAUAUGUCCCCAAGGCAAGUCUUUUUAAUUUAAUUUUAAAUGUGUUUUUUUAAUGUAUAUAUUUUAGCCUGUAGUACCUGACAUUUCAGACUGUCCAAAGCAGAUAACUCAACCAUUAAAAAAAUAUUCAGUGUCACUUGCUGACGGUUUGUGUGUGUGUAUGUUUGUGUGUAUGUUUGUGUGUGUGUGCGUGCGUGUACGUGUGUGUGUGUUUGUGCAUCUGUCUGUGGGCUCUAUUCUUUGUCCAACACAGCAGGAGUGUGUUUGCUAGUGGGGAUCCGGCAGAAAAUGACAGUCAUUACAUACUCUACUGUAGUUACCAAGCCCCCUGCUGCACUACAGUGGAGUGUUUACACUGAGAGUGAGUGAGUGAGUGAGUGAGUGAGUGAGUGAGUGAGUGAGUGAGUGAGUGUGAGAGAGAGAGAGAAACACAUUUUUACAUUUGUUUCCACAUUGAAGCAAAUAGACUUUAUUUAGAGGAAAGUAGUGUAAUUUUGAAGCAAAUAUAUUUUAUUUGGAGUGAAGUAUCAUAGACCACAGAGGUUUUUUCAACGUAAAAAAGGCCCGGUGUAAUCAAAAACAUGGUUUACCUGUGUUGUGUAUAUAUUUCCACACUAUGUGGAUGGAAUAAUACUGUGAAAUUGUAAAAAUUAUGAUAAUGCCCUUUUAGUGUAAGAGUUGUUUUAAAAGACUGCCUGAAAUUUCAGCCUGUUUUGGUGGGAGGGAGUUUUGGCCUGCCUGCUGACAUCACCAGUCGGUAAAUUAGUUAACAGAUCAAUAAGAAAUGGAGUUCCAAAGCUCUGCCAAUAACAGCUAGUUUUCAGUUUUCCCCUCCCCACUCACACCACUCCCAAACAGUCCUAGAUAAAUGAUUCCUUGAGAAACUGCUCUUUGCUAAGAAGCUAUUUAUGUUCAUUUUUGACCAUUUUAAUUGAAAACAAUCACAGUAAGGUACUUAAAUGUUACCCAAUAAGUUAUUUGAUAUUGAGUUAAAAAUGGCUGCAUUGAACCUUUAAAGUCAAAAAUACGAGGUGACACUACUUACUGGUGUUAGCCAGUAAGUAGUUGUUGACUAACAACAAGAUGGCGUUUAGGUAUCAGUACGAACUGUAACAACAUGAAGGUGCAUGUUGGAUGACCGAGCUGGUCAUCUCCAGCUACCCGAGUGGCACUGCGGUCUAAGGCACUGUAUCUCAGUGCUAGAGGUGUCACUACAGACACCCUGGUUUGAGUCCAGGCUGUAUCACGACUGGCUGUGAUUGGGAGUCCCAUAUG